UUAAAUACUACUUGAAGAAUACCUGAAGAAAUCAAGCUAGACCUAGCUUCUCAGCAAUAUAGAAAUAGGGAAAACUCUCCUAAUUAGAUUUUACACAGACAUGAAAAUUACGUGAUUCUUCAUUCCUGUCAUUAUCAGUUUACAGUAUUAAUACAUACUUUGUCACACAUGGGUCUGGAACCCGAACCGAUAAAGUAAGAUGAACUGUAGCAUAUUGUCCAAGAAAACAACAUAUUUACACGUCAUCCUCUCCACCCUCUGCACUGGCUUGGGUGCUUCUUCGUGACAUGUCCCCAUCUACUUCCGAGGAGUCGCUAUCUGCUGUGAGGCCUCUUACGCAAUGCCUGCCCACCAGGGGUCUUCGAGGUUCCAGGCAAAACCCCGGAGAGCAGCUACUGAGGCUGCCGGGCACACUCAGAGCAAGGAGUGUGUUCUGCGUGUGCUACAGAGGCUGCGUGUCAGAGUGGAGUGUCCCCAUGGGGCACAGGCCCUUUCUUUGCUUAAGAGAAGUCCAGCAGUGCCCUCAGCGUUCCAAGGCCAAACGUCACAGUAAACGAUGCAACGAAGACGGAAAAUCUCUCUCUGGUGGACCUGGUGGCUGCCACACCAACACGUACUCGCUAUUUCUUAGCAGCAGUCAUUCCAUCUUCUUUAGGGCAGUUAAUCUGGGGACAGCUAAUUUUACUCCUGACCCUAGUGGGACGGGAUAUGGAAUUAGGCCUAAAAUAAUCCACUUCUGGAAACCUCUCUCCCUGCCCGGAUACGGGAGGGGAAAGGCCACUGGGUUUUUGUCUGCAGCUGUCUCACAGUCCAUGAGAAAGCCGUGCGAGCUGACGUGGAAGGCGAGAGACAGCUUUUGGAAGGAAACCAAGUCCUUUAAGACACUGUCAAGCUCCGAGCCAAUCAAGCCAGAAACCCAAUGUACCGCGGCAUCCAGAGUCGGGGAAACUGGAACGUCCCUGGAUUGAAGCCAGCGGAAGUCGAGGGUUCUGUCACCAGCAGAGGAAGGCACCCUGACAUUGAAACGUCAAGGCCUUGCUCGCGUGGGGUCCGCGUUCCACGCCUGGGGACAGAGAUCUGAGCAUUCCAGAAAUCCUGGCUUGCCUACCCCAUUCUCUAAUCAACUACAAAAGACAUCUUAAACUUGCAACGCUAGGGCCAUGAUUAGGAAUGUGAGGAGGUCUGAAUUUCUGAAAAAGGAAGGCAUUGGGAGUCAGU